CGUGCAGGCGGGUUGGUAAGUCAGAUGUGAAAGCCCUGGGCUCAACCUAGGAAGUGCAUUUGAAACUGCCAUCCUUGAGUAUGGGAGAGGAGAGUGGAAUUCCCAAUGUAGAGGUGAAAUUCGUAGAUAUUGGGAGGAACACCCGUGGCGAAGGCGACUCUCUGGACCAAUCCUGACGCUGAGACGCGAAAGCGUGGGGAGCAAACA
rnacentral:rRNA from 1 species